UGCCAUUGUGCCUUUUCAUUCAUCGAUCGAAUGCAUAUCGAACCUUCUGUCGGUGCAUGUGUGAAACAGAUAGCUUAGCCAGCAUUUUUCUUCCACCGAAAGAGGCAAUUAACAAACAAAUCAAGAAAAUAAAAUGAGAGACACAGGGACGAAGACACUCGCUGUCCAUAUGACGCUGAGACCUAGAGGACGGAGGACAAAACCACAGCAGAAAGUGAGCAAAUUCAAAGGCAAAGGAAGGAAAGAGAUCAGCCAAGUGAGAAGACAAUGUCAUUGUUGUCAGGACGCAGAAAAUCAAUGCCGUAAAAGCAAAGAGGAAAAAAAAUGAGAUCUGCUCUGGGAAGAGACAAGCACUCACAAUAAAGAACAAUUUUACCGCAGCUCUCUCGGAUAUGAGCAGACAGCAGAAUUAAAUAAAACAUUUGCUCUUUUACAUAGAAUUUGCAGCUCGAUUCUUCGGAGGGAUUAAUUAAAUUGUUGGAAAGGCUUUGCCUUGCAGACACAUUGUGGAUUUUAUUUAUAAGGUUUACAAAGCUUUCAGUUCUCUAUAUGUUGUAGCCUAUAUGUAUGUAAAUUGCAAACAGAAUUAGCUACA